UACGUAGGGGGCAAGCGUUGUCCGGAAUCAUUGGGCGUAAAGCGCGUGUAGGCGGCCAGAAAAGUCCGCUGUGAAAACUCGAGGCUCAACCUCGAGCCUGCAUUCGAUACUGGGCGGCUAGAGUCUGGUAGGGGGAUCUGGAAUUCCUGGUGUAGCGGUGGAAUGCGCAGAUAUCAGGAGGAACACCGGUGGCGAAGGCGGGAUCCUGGGCCAGUACUGACGCUGAGGAGCGAAAGCGUGGGGAGCAAACAGG
rnacentral:rRNA from 1 species